rnacentral:rRNA from 1 species
UACGAAGGGGGCUAGCGUUGCUCGGAAUUACUGGGCGUAAAGCGCACGUAGGCGGCUUUCUAAGUCGGGGGUGAAAUCCUGGAGCUCAACUCCAGAACUGCCUUCGAUACUGGAAAGCUCGAGUCCGGGAGAGGUGAGUGGAACUGCGAGUGUAGAGGUGAAAUUCGUAGAUAUUCGCAAGAACACCAGUGGCGAAGGCGGCUCACUGGCCCGGUAUUGACGCUGAGACGCGAAAGCCAGGGGAGCGAACCGG